AAGCCGCAGAAGAAGAAGAAGAAGUCAGCUGAUACACCCGCUACCAGGAAAAGCGGUAGUGUAGUGGAAGUACCACCGAGUUGCUAAUUUGUCACAGUACUUGUCUUAUCUGAUACUCAUUGGGUUUUAACUGAUAAAAUGUUCGGCGGAGACGACGAAGACGGAGAUUUCUUGUCACCCACGGGCGGGUAAGUUAUUUAUGCCGUGCGAGUUCACUGGGAGCAGAACAUCCCCCCUCGCCAGUGUCAGUGCUCGACAGAUCGGUGUGCAUGGGCCAAGUUGGCUUCCCUGUUUGGACUUGAUGACGAAACCAGUCAAGGGAAUGAGUCCUUUCAUUAUACAGCACCAAAACAGCCUAGAAGGAGCUCAAAUCCAGUCACAGUCAUCCAGACAGCAGCACCUUCACCUGGAACCCUACAAGUGUUAUUUGCCACUGCAGUCCAAGCCUUUCGAUAUAUAAAUGGACAGUACGUGAAGCAGGGUAAGCUGGGGGCAGCCAUACUGGGCAACCACACAAGUAAAGAGUAUAAGCUGCUUCUAUACUUGAGCCAGCAGAAACAAGUUGCUUCUUCCGACAUUCACAUUGACUUCAUUUUCACGGUGAGCUUUACAAACUCUGUUUACAAACUUAAUUUGUUUAGCGUGUUAACCAAAGGAUUUUUUCCCAAUGACCAAGUCACAUUUGCCAUUGUAGACGCCUGACAAAUAAUGAGUAUUUGGAUUAACACAGAGAUAAGAAGGUACUUCAAGUGGCUUAAGGCUCUUCCAGGGUUUUCGCAUCGUGAAACCGCAGCGCGCUUUGGACUGGCAUGCGGACCACAGAUGCGCACACGGUCCCAUUUACACUACAUUUCACGGUCACAUCGGUACGUGUUGCACAUGCGCAUCGGUAUACGCGAAAGCAAAACGAAACGGAGCUGCUGUGUUUGUUGUAAGCUUUAGGAUAAUUUACACCAGAGGUUUGGAACCAUCUGGCUAGCUUUAUAGUCCUUUAAAGGGUUAAGGAAGGAGAGCCCAAGAAUAUGAUGUAUAUGCCCCCAUUUGUCUAAAAAACGAUACUCUGAUUACUAUUGUAUUUGUAGAAUCAGAAUCAAACAGAUAAAUUAAUACAUUUUCACCUAUUCCAGGAUACGGUCACAUUGGGCAAUAUCGCCCUCUGCUCUCGACUGAAAUUAACGUCAUAGGUGCCCUUGCGAACGUCCCGUGACCAAACCGGGAUAUCGGGCACCCCCUGCAUGAUGUGAUAAUUAGCAGAACUACGGGUUGAUUACAUAUGAUGUUUUGGACAGUAUUUUCAGCCAAGUUUGAGUUCAUAUCAUCAUGUAAUCAAAAAGUCUAAGUCAAGCUAGCUGCAACAAGAUUGUUCAUAUUAAGCACCAUGGCACGAAAAAGAAAAACCCAAUGCUGGCAACAUGCCGGAUGUUACCAGCGCCAACUUCAAAAUAAAAGGCCCACCAUUGAACAUCAAUGCGUUAUUAGCCUUCUGUUUGUCAAUAUUCUCAUUUAUCCAGGUCAUUUCAUCAGUCCGUGCUAUUCUCAUUCUCAACUUUUGCACACAGAGUGACGUAAAAAUGGCGGCUUACGAUGCGGUAAAAGUAUUUUUUGAGAAUGUAAGUAACCUUCAUCC